AGGACUAGUGAUUGAUGUGUUCCUUGUUGCAGUGAAUUAACAGCAGGCAGCAGACAGGCAUGAGAUGGCUACCAGCACCAAUACCAAAAUCCUCACACCUUCAGCCGUGCUCUGGCUGUGCCUGUGGCAGAGCUGGAGCUCUACCCUGCUCCUCCAGACCUCCAACCGCAGGAGCACAGCAAAUGACUCAGUUGAGAUUUUCUUCUGUUUUGUACAGCAGUAACACAGACAGCUGUGAGGAAAGCCUAGGACACCCCACAGCCCACCUUGAGACUUUGUGAAAUCUCCAUCCCUUCCGAUCUGAAAACAGUGUAACUUCUCACAGGUAUGAGAACUCUCCCAAGGAGGUAUCUCCCAUCCUUUGGAAGAGUUACAAUGUCAUACAGCAUAUGACAUCUGUGCCCUCUCCCAACUCAAAACCCUGGUUUUAUUAACGUAACUAAGAAAAUAUUAUAUGUUCACUAAUAGCAAUGGUCUCCUGUAUAGAAAUGGCUGUAAAGCUCUGUUCUGUUUUUUUAUCAAAGGAAGGUGAAAUCUGCUACAUAAUCUUGACAAGACUCAUAGCACCCACCCUGCUAUUUGGGGAAAAAAAAAAAACAUUUUUUUCCACUUAUUCACUGGCCAGUACUGCAAGACAUUUUAACAGGCAGACAAUUGUGAUCCUCAGCAAAUGCCUGCCUGAGGCUGUGGUCAUGUUCAGUCUAGGCCUGGAGGUCUAUUUGUAAUGCCAAGGCCCUUUCUCUAGACCUGCCAUCUCAGCCUUCUGACUUCAUACUUUCCCAUCUGCAACACACAAUGAGAAAGGAUCAGGGUUUAGUCAGCACAAGUGCUUCUCAGGACAUAAUCCUACUGUCUGUGAUCAUCAGCUUUGUGCGAGACACUUACAAAUUCUUCAUUUGUACUUGUUAAAAUAUUCAAGCUUCCCCUACCUGAACAUUAUGUGAACGAAUCUGCUCAGAUACAUAAUUGAACAGUACUAAAGCUGCACUACCACCUCCAACAAUUAAGUCCGGGAAAUCAAACAUGGACAAAAGGAAUUACUCAGUGUGUGGUCCCAUGCUUUUCCUUCCAUGCAGUAUGAGCAGAGCCAAGCUAAACCUCACAGCUGGCCACAAACACAAGGGUUAAACCAGAUGACCUUCUAAGGUCCCUUCAAAAUAA
rnacentral:lncRNA from 1 species